GAUGAACGCUGGCGGCGUGCUUAACACAUGCAAGUCGAACGGGAAACUUUUCAUUGAAGCUUCGGCAGAUUUGGUCUGUUUCUAGUGGCGGACGGGUGAGUAACGCGUGGGUAACCUGCCUUAUACAGGGGGAUAACAACCAGAAAUGGUUGCUAAUACCGCAUAAGCGCACAGGACCGCAUGGUCCGGUGUGAAAAACUCCGGUGGUAUAAGAUGGACCCGCGUUGGAUUAGCUAGUUGGCAGGGUAACGGCCUACCAAGGCGACGAUCCAUAGCCGGCCUGAGAGGGUGAACGGCCACAUUGGGACUGAGACACGGCCCAGACUCCUACGGGAGGCAGCAGUGGGGAAUAUUGCACAAUGGGGGAAACCCUGAUGCAGCGACGCCGCGUGAAGGAAGAAGUAUCUCGGUAUGUAAACUUCUAUCAGCAGGGAAGAUAGUGACGGUACCUGACUAAGAAGCCCAGGCUAACUACGUGCCAGCAGCCGCGGUAAUACGUAGGGGGCAAGCGUUAUCCGGAUUUACUGGGUGUAAAGGGAGCGUAGACGGACUGGCAAGUCUGAUGUGAAAGGCGGGGGCUCAACCCCUGGACUGCAUUGGAAACUGUUAGUCUUGAGUGCCGGAGAGGUAAGCGGAAUUCCUAGUGUAGCGGUGAAAUGCGUAGAUAUUAGGAGGAACACCAGUGGCGAAGGCGGCUUACUGGACGGUAACUGACGUUGAGGCUCGAAAGCGUGGGGAGCAAACAAGAUUAGAUACCCUGGUAGUCCACGCCGUAAACGA
rnacentral:rRNA from 1 species